rnacentral:lncRNA from 1 species
GGGGGCUCUGCUCAUUAUAGUUGCCCACGGCCUCCAGUCAAUGAAAUUUCCGGCCAAUGAAAUGCUCUACUGUGACUGAAGCAGCAAAGGGAAGAUGGGUGGCUUUGAAAUCAGAAUUGGAUGCAGAGGGAGUCCCAGAGGCCAACACUGUGAACAUAAGAAGGGAAAGACCAGUUCUGCAAGCACAGAUGAAAUUUUGAGAAGCAGAGCUACAGUUCUGCCGGAGGCCUCUCCAGAUUGUGAUGCACUGGGAGCAAGCCACCGUGAACAUAUCCUCAGGUCUCCAGUCUUCUGCCAUCGCAUGAAAAAUGGAGCUUGUCAAACACGGAGCAGAGCUGAACUUUCUGAAUUCCACGGGACAGUUCAGAGUGCUUGGAAUGACACCCACCCGCAAUUAAAACAAAAAAGAAGGAUGAGUAAGUGAGGAACUAAAAAUUGCAUGUUUCCCUAAAUUAGAUUUAUUUGUAAGCUUUAAGUAAGUGCAAACAUAUUUCGAAUUAUCUGUUAUGAAUUGUGGUUUUGUUAUUAAACAGACAUUUUGUUUAAUUCUUAUGUGCAAAGUGAAAAGAGACUUGUUUUGCUGGAUUUUUCUUUUUGGUAAGUAUUGA